GUCCACGCCGUAAACGAUGAGUGCUAGGUGCUAUGGGUAUUGACCCCCGUGGUGCCGUAGCUAACGCGUUAAGCACUCCGCCUGGGGAGUACGGCCGCAAGGCUAAAACUCAAAGGAAUUGACGGGGCCCGCACAAGCGGUGGAGCAUGUGGUUCAAUUCGACGCAACGCGCAGAACCUUACCUGGGUUAAAUCCACUCAAAUCCUGUAGAGAUACGGGAGUGCCCUUCGGGGAAUGAGUGAGAAGGUGCUGCAUGGCUGUCGU
rnacentral:rRNA from 1 species